GAAACGUGGGUCUAAUACCGGAUAGGACCAUGCUUUAGUGUGUGUGGUGGAAAGUUUUUUCGGUGUAGGAUGAGCCCGCGGCCUAUCAGCUUGUUGGUGGGGUAAUGGCCUACCAAGGCGGCGACGGGUAGCCGGACUGAGAGGUUGGUCGGCCACAUUGGGACUGAGAUACGGCCCAG
rnacentral:rRNA from 1 species